ACUCCUACGGGAGGCAGCAGUGGGGAAUAUUGCACAAUGGGCGUAAGCCUGAUGCAGCAACGCCGCGUGAGGGACGACGGCCUUCGGGUUGUAAACCUCUUUUAGAAGGGAAGAAGCGAAAGUGACGGUACCUGCAGAAAAAGCACCGGCUAACUACGUGCCANCAGCCGCGGUAAUACGUAGGGUGCAAGCGUUAUCCGGAAUUAUUGGGCGUAAAGAGCUCGUAUGCGGUUUGUCGCGUCUGCUGUGAAAACUGGAGGCUCAACCUCCAGCCUGCAGUGGGUACGGGCAGACUAGAGUGCGGUAGGGGAGAUUGGAAUUCCUGGUGUAGCGGUGGAAUGCGCAGAUAUCAGGAGGAACACCGAUGGCGAAGGCAGAUCUCUGGGCCGUAACUGACGCUGAGGAGCGAAAGCAUGGGGAGCGAACAGGAUUAGAUACCCUGGUAGUCCAUGCCGUAAACGUUGGGAACUAGAUGUAGGGUCCAUUCCACGGAUUCUGUGUCGCAGCUAACGCAUUAAGUUCCCCGCCUGGGGAGUACGGCCGCAAGGCUAAAACUCAAAGGAAUUGACGGGGGCCCGCACAAGCGGCGGAGCAUGCGGAUUAAUUCGAUGCAACGCGAAGAACCUUACCAAGGCUUGACAUAUACCGGAAAAGUUCAGAAAUGUUCUCCCCGCAAGGUCGGUAUACAGGUGGUGCAUGGUUGUCGUCAGCUCGUGUCGUGAGAUGUUGGGUUAAGUCCCGCAACGAGCGCAACCCUCGUUCUAUGUUGCCAGCACGUAAUGGUGGGAACUCAUAGGAGACUGCCGGGGUCAACUCGGA
rnacentral:rRNA from 1 species